rnacentral:rRNA from 1 species
CCUACGGGAGGCUGCAGUGAGGAAUAUUGGUCAAUGGACGAGAGUCUGAACCAGCCAAGUAGCGUGAAGGAUGACUGCCCUAUGGGUUGUAAACUUCUUUUAUAUGGGAAUAAAAUGUUCCACGUGUGGGAUUUUGUAUGUACCAUAUGAAUAAGGAUCGGCUAACUCCGUGCCAGCAGCCGCGGUAAUACGGAGGAUCCGAGCGUUAUCCGGAUUUAUUGGGUUUAAAGGGAGCGUAGGUGGAUUGGUAAGUCAGUUGUGAAAGUUUGGGGCUCAACCGUAAAAUUGCAGUUGAAACUGGCAGUCUUGAGUACAGUAGAGGUGGGCGGAAUUCGUGGUGUAGCGGUGAAAUGCUUAGAGAUCACGAAGAACUCCGAUUGCGAAGGCAGUUCACUGGACUGCAACUGACACUGAGGCUCGAAAGUGUGGGUAUCAAACAGGAUUAGAUACCCGAGUAGGC